GAUGAACGCUAGCUACAGGCUUAACACAUGCAAGUCGAGGGGUAACGAGAGGAAAGCUUGCUUUCCUUGUCGACGACCGGCGCACGGGUGAGUAACGCGUAUCCAACCUGCCCCCAACUAGGGAAUAACCUUGCGAAAGUAAGACUAAUACCCUAUAGUUUCCUCAGAUAUCAUCUGACGAGGAAUAAAGAUUUAUCGGUUGUGGAUGGGGAUGCGUCUGAUUAGCUUGUUGGCGGGGUAACGGCCCACCAAGGCAACGGUCAGUAGGGGUUCUGAGAGGAAGGUCCCCCACAUUGGAACUGAGACACGGUCCAAACUCCUACGGGAGGCAGCAGUGAGGAAUAUUGGUCAAUGGGCGGAAGCCUGAACCAGCCAAGUAGCGUGCAGGAUGACGGCCCUAUGGGUUGUAAACUGCUUUUAUACAGGAAUAAAGUUAGCCACGUGUGGUUAUUUGUAGGUACUGUAUGAAUAAGGACCGGCUAAUUCCGUGCCAGCCGCCGCCGUAA
rnacentral:rRNA from 1 species